rnacentral:rRNA from 1 species
AAGUUUCAACAACGGAUCUCUUGGCUCUCGCAUCGAUGAAGAACGCAGCGAAAUGCGAUAAGUAAUGUGAAUUGCAGAAUUCAGUGAAUCAUCGAAUCUUUGAACGCACCUUGCGCUCCUUGGUAUUCCUUGGAGCAUGCCUGUUUCAGUAUCAU